GAUGAACGCUGGCGGCGUGCCUAAUACAUGCAAGUCGAGCGAACAGACGAGGCGCUUGCUCCUCUGACGUUAGCGGCGGACGGGUGAGUAACACGUGGAUAACCUACCUAUAAGACUGGGAUAACUUCGGGAAACCGGAGCUAAUACCGGAUAAUAUAUUGAACCGCAUGGUUCAAUAGUGAAAGACGGUUUUGCUGUCACUUAUAGAUGGAUCCGCGCCGCAUUAGCUAGUUGGUAAGGUAACGGCUUACCAAGGCAACGAUGCGUAGACGACCUGACAGGGUGAUAGGUCACACUGGAACGGAGACACGGUCCAGACUCCUACGGGAGGCAGCAGUAGGGAAUCUGCCGCAAAGGGCGAAAGCCUGACGGAGCAACGCCGCGUGAGUGAUGAAGGUCUUCGGAUCGUAAAACUCUGUUAUUAGGGAAGAACAAAUGUGUAAGUAACUAUGCACGUCUUGACGGUACCUAAUCAGAAAGCCACGGCUAACUACGUG
rnacentral:rRNA from 1 species